rnacentral:rRNA from 1 species
CCUACGGGUGGCAGCAGUGAGGAAUAUUGGUCAAUAGGCGCGAGCCUGAACCAGCCAAGUAGCGUGAGGGAUGAAUGCCCUACGGGUUGUAAACUUCUUUUAUAAGGGAAUAAAGUGAGGCACGUGUGCCUGUUUGUAUGUACUUUAUGAAUAAGGAUCGGCUAACUCCGUGCCAGCAGCCGCGGUAAUACGGAGGAUCCGAGCGUUAUCCGGAUUUAUUGGGUUUAAAGGGAGCGUAGAUGGGUUGUUAAGUCAGGUGUGAAAGUUUGCGGCUCAACCGUAAAAGUGCAAUUGAUACUGGCAGUCUUGAGUACAGGUGAGGUAGGCGGAAUUCGUGGUGUAGCGGUGAAAUGCUUAGAUAUCACGAAGAACCCCGAUUGCGAAGGCAGCUUACCAAACUGCCACUGACAUUGAUGCUCGAAAGUGUGGGUAUCAAACAGGAUUAGAUACCCCGGUAGUC